rnacentral:rRNA from 1 species
AGUGAACGCUGGCGGUAGGCCUAACACAUGCAAGUCGAACGGCAGCACAGUAGGAGCUUGCUCUUACGGGUGGCGAGUGGCGGACGGGUGAGGAAUACAUCGGAAUCUACUUUUUCGUGGGGGAUAACGUAGGGAAACUUACGCUAAUACCGCAUACGACCUACGGGUGAAAGCAGGGGAUCUUCGGACCUUGCGCGAUUGAAUGAGCCGAUGUCGGAUUAGCUAGUUGGCGGGGUAAAGGCCCAUCAAGGCGACGAUCCGUAGCUGGUCUGAGAGGAUGAUCAGCCACACUGGAACUGAGACACGGUCCAGACUCCUACGGGAGGCAGCAGUGGGGAAUAUUGGACAAUGGGCGAAAGCCUGAUCCAGCCAUACCGCGUGGGUGAAGAAGGCCUUCGGGUUGUAAAGCCCUUUUGUUGGGAAAGAAAAGCAGCAGGUUAAUACCCCGCUGUUCUGACGGUACCCAAAGAAUAAGCACCGGCUAACUUCGUG